UUUUUUUUCUCCAAAUCUCCACUUUCACUUUCACAUCUGAAAGCCACAUGUGGUGCCUGUUUAUUUUCACUUUCACAUUAUAAGUAAACAAGAACUAAAAUAUUGAUCUGUUUCUCACCCACAUCUAUCAUAUCACUUCUGAAGAUAUGGAUUAAACCACUGGAGUCAUAUGGAUUACUUUUAUGUUCUGUUUAUGUGAUUUUUGGAGCUACAAAGUCUGAUUACCAUUCACUUGCAUUGUGAGGACUUACAGAGCUUAAAUAUUCUUCUAAAAAUCUUUGUUUGUGUUCUGCAGAAGAAAGAAAGUCAUACACAUCUUGGCAUGAGGGUGCACUCUAAAAAAUGCUGGGUUAUUUUUUCUACCCAAAAGCUGGGUUGAGACUGUUGGGUGAAGAAGUUGGGUUGAUCUGAUCCAAACCGGGAUGGUAAAGGUUUUAUACCUGUAAUCCAGCACUGCUGGGUUGGGAAAGCGGACGUGAAAGAAACCAUAUACGUCGUACAUCAUUACCUACGUACAGUUUCAAAUCUUUGUGAAGGCUGCAGAAUGAGAGAAAGAGCACCAACGCUGGAAGAUGUAAGCUGUUUUCAGCCUGGGUUUAUAACUAUUCACUGAAUAACCUGUAAACGAGCGGUGCUGUGUUGCGGAUGCCGCGUGAAAUUGUAAACCUCCGUGAAGACUGAAGAGCCCGAGAGGUGACACUAGAGACAUGCAAGUUCGUACCAGUGGCUGAGUACAGUACCUGCAUCGUGCAAAAGAUGGCAUCAAAUUUUCAUACACACUGAUGCUUGGAGAAAACAAUCAGUGCUUUCAAGCUUUUGUUGUCAUUCACAGAGAAACGCUUCAGCAAAAUACUUUGCAGGGCACAGUGGACAUUUACUUCAACGCUUUCUACCUCUUAAAUAUUAGUCAUCCCAAGAAGUGUUCCCCAGUGUGUGAAUUUCUACAGACUGGUAACUUGUUUAUUGAAACAGACAAUAAAUUUCUACCUU